rnacentral:rRNA from 1 species
GAUAAACGCUGGCGGCGCACAUAAGACAUGCAAGUCGAACGAACUUAAUUCGAAUGUUUACAUUUGGAAGCGGUUAGUGGCGGACUGGUGAGUAACACGUAAGCAACCUGCCUAUCAGAGGGGAAUAACAGUGAGAAAUCAUUGCUAAUACCGCAUAUGCUGUGAGUAUCGCAUGAUACAAACAGGAAAGGAACAAUCCGCUGAUAGAUGGGCUUGCGUCUGAUUAGAUAGUUGGUGGGGUAAUGGCCUACCAAGUCGACGAUCAGUAGCCGGACUGAGAGGUUGAACGGCCACAUUGGGACUGAGAUACGGCCCAGACUCCUACGGGAGGCAGCAGUCGGGAAUACUGCACAAUGGAGGAAACUCUGAUGCAGUGACGCCGCGUGCAGGAAGAAGGUUUUCGGAUUGUAAACUGCUUUAGAUAGGGAAGAUAAAAGACUGUACCUAUAGAAUAAGCUCCGGCUAACUACGUGCCAGCAGCCGCAGUAAAAC